UUGUGAGCAGUUGUUACUCUUAGUUUUUAAAAAAUCUUUUACAUUGUAAGUACCCAAUCCAUUCUGUCCUGACGCAGUAGUUUUUAUGUUAAUGUUGCUGAGAUGUCCUUAAUUUUCCGAACCUUCAUCUGCAUGUAUGUCUUUGUCUCUCUUGUCUAAUAUAAGCCAGUUAAGAUGCUUGAGACGAUCUUGCUUUAUAAAGCUAAGGUUCUAGCUUUAUGCUUUUGAAAAUGUUUACAGCAGUAAAUGCUAGUCAGCUUUCUUCCCCGUAGUUUGUACACUUUCUUUGAAAAUCGAUCUAUUUGAAGAAAAACAGCCCUGUUUUUCUCGUCUUUGUUGUUGGGGGUUGGGGGAAGCUGGUGGGUGAGGGAAAGGAAGACCUUUUCUUUGUGUAGAGAGACUAAAGCCGUCACAGGAAACUAGAUUAAAACUGGAAAACAAGUCCUAGCUGGUUCCAGCAAACACCAGCGUUAAGUGGGGGGUAUUUUCUAUGGUGGUUGGGCGGCUGGUGCGUCUUUUGCCUUUUGUUUGAUUUGACUGUAUUUUCGCCUUUUGUCUCUUAAUGACGAUCACACCAUUGCUAUAUCCAGAGCAGUAAACAGUCCUCAGCGAAGCCGCCUUUUUGCCUACCCAACCCUGGAAAGUUUGCAGAAGUGGAAGGAGCAGAACGUGAGGGUGUAACUUACAAAAAGGUUCUGGGCCGGAGAAGGGGCGACGUUCGGGCACCCCCCGAAUGGACAAUCUUUCCUUCUGUCGACGGCAGGGGCAGGCCUAGUUUGACUCUGACAGUCCUCCCACUAAGGAAUUCCUGGUGACUGGAAGGGGAGUGACUUGGGUCCUCAACCUCUAGCAGGUAAGGGAGCUGCCUUCUGGGUGGGCAUGCCCAGUUCCUCAGUGGGCCCAGUGCAGCCCAGCCUCCGAGGAAGCUCUGAGCAGCUGGCUUGGCUCCGAGGUAUUUUUAGCUACAGAUCCAGCCCCCCUCCAUCACCACAACAGUCGAGUCCAAAUCAAACGUGCUCCAGGCAGGUGGGGCUGGGGUUCUGCCAGCCUCCUG
rnacentral:lncRNA from 1 species